GACGAACGCUGGCGGCGUGCCUAAUACAUGCAAGUUGAGCGCUGAAGGUUGGUACUUGUACCAACUGGAUGAGCAGCGAACGGGUGAGUAACGCGUGGGGAAUCUGCCUUUGAGCGUGGGACAACAUCUGGAAACGAAUGCUAAUACCGCAUAAUAUCUUUAAACACAAGUUUCAAGUUUGAAAGAUGCUUUUGCAUCACUCAAUGAUGAUCCCGCGUUGUCUUAGCUUGUUGGUAAGGUAAAGGCCGGCCAAGGCGAGGAUUCUUAGCCACCCUGAGAGGGGGACCGGCCACAUUGGAACUGGGAAAGGGCCCAAACUCCUACGGGAGGCAGAAGAGGGGAACUUUCGGCAAGGGGCGAAAGCCUAACGGAGCAACGCGGGGGGGUUGAGGAGGGUCUCGGAACCUUAAACCUCUGUUGUUAGGAAAGAACAAGGGUGGAAGUGAAAGCGCAUGUAGUGACGGUAACUACCCAGAAAGGGACGGCUAACUACGUG
rnacentral:rRNA from 1 species